CAAUAGCGUAUAUUAAAGUUGUUGCAGUUAAAAAGCUCGUAGUCGGAUUUCGGGUUUGUCCGCGCGGUCUGCCGUUGGGUAUGCACUGCGUGUGACUUAUCUUUUUCGGGGCAGCGCGCGUUGCUUAAUUGUGGCGUGUGUCUCCUCGCUUUUACUUUGAGAAAAUCAGAGUGUUCAAAGCAGGCCUUUGCCAUUGUAUGUGUUAGCAUGGGAUAAUGGAAUAGGACUCUGGUGCUAUUUUGUUGGUUUCGAACGCCGGGGUAAUGAUUAAUAGGGAUAGUCAGGGGCACUCGUAUUCCGUAGAGAGAGGUGAAAUUCUUAGACCCACGGAAGACGCACUACUGCGAAAGCAUUUGCCAGGGAUGUUUUCACUGA
rnacentral:rRNA from 1 species